rnacentral:rRNA from 1 species
UACAGAGGGUGCGAGCGUUAAUCGGAAUUACUGGGCGUAAAGCGCGUGUAGGCGGCUAUGCAAGUCGGAUGUGAAAGCCCCCGGCUCAACUGGGGAGGGUCAUUCGAUACUGUCCGACUCGAAGGCAGGAGAGGGAAGCGGAAUUCCCGGUGUAGUGGUGAAAUGCGUAGAUAUCGGGAGGAACACCAGUGGCGAAGGCGGCUUUCUGGCCUGUUCUUGACGCUGAGGCGCGAAAGCCAGGGGAGCAAACGGG